rnacentral:rRNA from 1 species
GGGUGGUAAUGCCGGAUGCUCCAGUUGGAUGCAUGUCCUUCUGGGAAAGAUUCUAUCGGUAUGGGAUGGGGUCGCGUCCUAUCAGCUUGAUGGCGGGGUAACGGCCCACCAUGGCUUCGACGGGUAGCCGGCCUGAGAGGGCGACCGGCCACAUUGGGACUGAGAUACGGCCCAGACUCCUACGGGAGGCAGCAGUGGGGAAUAUUGCACAAUGGGCGCAAGCCUGAUGCAGCGACGCCGCGUGCGGGAUGACGGCCUUCGGGUUGUAAACCGCUUUUGACUGGGAGCAAGCCCUUCGGGGUGAGUGUACCUUUCGAAUAAGCACCGGCUAACUACGUGCCAGCAGCCGCGGUAAUACGUAGGGUGCAAGCGUUAUCCGGAAUUAUUGGGCGUAAAGGGCUCGUAGGCGGUUCGUCGCGUCCGGUGUGAAAGUCCAUCGCUUAACGGUGGAUCCGCGCCGGGUACGGGCGGGCUUGAGUGCGGUAGGGGAGACUGGAAUUCCCGGUGUAACGGUGGAAUGUGUAGAUA